AGUGCCGCUGAAAAGCGGGACACCUCUGAGGGACCCGGAUUUCACAGUUUGGCCACAGUGUCCAGUCCUGAGCGCCUGUCUGGCAAACUCCUAUUAAAAGCAAUAGACGCUCUACUGCCGCUGAUAAGGCAUGAGUAGAGAGAGACUAACUCAGCUCGGCUUUCAGGUGCCAGUCAUUUCCGAAGAAACCUAGUCACAUACUAAUCAUGAAAGUCAAGGUGACCCUUAGUGAGCACCUGAGUCUGCCUGAGAGUUUGCAGUGCACAAUGAAGCCUACUUGUCACUGGAUGGCAGCAGCAGCUUCUGAAAUGGAGUGGUUAGACACCAAAUUGAAAAUGACUUGGCAGCCAGUGUUAUGUGGGGGAGAAUCAUUCCUUGGAAGACUUUUUCAAACCGCUGGACGUUGGAACAUACUAGUAAAUGCAGAGCACAUCCGCUUUUUCACAAGAC